CUGCAACGCCUGGCUGCUGAGAGCUGCUGAGAAGCCAUGACUUUGGAUCUCUUGUUUCUCAACCUCACCCUGCUCGGGGCCGUGAAGCCUCAGGAGCAGGUUUUCAAUAUAACUGUGUUACCAACCUUUCCUCCGAUCAACCCGGUUCCCCUGCAGCCAAAGUUCCAGUACGACAAGUUCCAGGGCAAGUGGUACACGAUAGCGAUGGCAGACAGCAGAAUUCGCAAUGGAAAGCAAAAGGGGUUAAACAUGCAGAGCGUCACCUACAUGCUGAUACAGAACUACAACUACGUUGUCA
rnacentral:lncRNA from 1 species